AUACGGAGGGUCCAAGCGUUAUCCGGAAUCAUUGGGUUUAAAGGGUCCGCAGGCGGUCAAUUAAGUCAGAGGUGAAAGCCCAUCGCUCAACGAUGGAACUGCCUUUGAUACUGGUUGACUUGAGUUAUACGGAAGUAGAUAGAAUAAGUAGUGUAGCGGUGAAAUGCAUGGAUAUUACUUAGAAUACCGAUUGCGAAGGCAGUCUACUACGUAUAUACUGACGCUGAGGGACGAAAGCGUGGGGAGCGAACAGGAUUAGAAACCCUAGUAGUCC
rnacentral:rRNA from 1 species